AGAAAAGGUAAAUUCCUCAACCUUGGUGCUGCUGCAACAGGAAGAGGAACUCAGGGUUCUCCCGGAGAAGCGGCGGCGGCGGCUCCUCCAAGUCGGUGAGGCUGAUGUCGAGCCCUGAUCGCGAUAUGUCGUCCAGAGAGAAUGCAGCAGUGACUCUGCUUGAUGCUUGUCAUACUGACUGACCUGGUCUGUUGUUUUGGAGCACCAUUGUUCCAACUCCUGCAAGCCAGCCUUGACAAAUUCUGCAUUGCUAAAUGAACAGCAUUCUCGGCGGAGCAGCAAGCUGCUGAUCACGGAGCAACCGAUUCUCUGACUCCAAUGUGCUGAUCUUGUUUUCAAGGCUGGAGGAUAAUUGCAAUACAUAAGUCAAGCUCAUUAGGAAUACAUUUUAGAGUGAAUGCACCUGAUAGCCUUGCAAGCCCAUCCUGUCACAUAUAGCUGCACAUGCUGUUUUUUCGUCGGAGCUGCAUGAUCUAGUAUGAAAUCAGUAUAUUCAGUCACAACAUCCAUGGUUUCAUGCACUUAAGAGAAGCUGAGUUCAAUUUCUUAUGGAGAAGUUUUGUACCCAUCUAUAAGAUCUGGUUCAAGAAUUCCAAAACGAUCAACGAAUUCAUCAAAUGUCCUCUUUGUUGGAUAGCCGGCACAGCUGAUCCUGAUUGCCUCUAACACACCCUAGAUUUGGAGCAGAGAAGUGGUGAGACAUGUUACGGGUGCAUUUCAAUCCACAUAGUUUCCUAUAAAUUACUAUAAAAUUCCAGUGCAAAUGUGCUACUGACCCCACAUCUCAAUUGGUUGAGUACAUUGACGUUUUCAAAGAUGCCUGGUUUUAAGACUGAGUUGGGCUUCACACAUCUGAUGUAAUGUGGCUCUGUUGUGCUCAAAGUUUCCAUUAGUGAUUGAAGUUGUUGCUGCAAAAUUCACCUACAGAACUAUCAGAAAUUUGAAAGACACUUGGACAGAUGAAUUUCAAAUCUAUAUCACCUGCACACCUUGAAACGAGUACCUAUUGAGGAGAACUUGGACUGUUUUGAAGUUUCCUCAGCUAAUGGCAGAAAGAGAUUUGCCACAAAGGGACACUUUGAAGCAUUUAAUAGAGCUUGAUGUUCUGCAACGACAUAGUCUUUGUUCUUGUCAAGGAAUUGAUCAGCUUGAGAACUCUCUGCACAAAAAGAAGGAAACAGAUGUACCAUGCUUCAUCAAGUAGCGCAAUUAUUCCUCCUGGUUUCUGCAUUCAAACGAUAAGAAUCAGGACAUAAAUUAUCAUGAUGGGUAUCACAUGAAUGCUGAGUAGGAAGUGCAUUUUACCUCCAGGACCUGUUGCUCUACUGUUCGGCCCUCCGUACAUGAUCUCCCACCCAUGAAAGCCAAAUAUCUCAUGAGCAUCUUUGUGGUCUCUGUUUUACCAGCUCCACUCUCGCCACUAACCAAGAUUGACUGGCUUCCCUGGUCAUUUAUGAUUGCCCUGAUACCUGUAGCAAGCAUCUGCGAUGGCGAAAAGAUGCGGACUUAGCUCACCGAAGGCAGCUCCCUUGUACUGUUCCAUCAUGUGGACAUCAUACAGAUGUGGAAGCCUCCGAAAUGGAUUCACAGCUAUCAAUAUAUUUCCAGUGUAUGUCUGUCAAAAAAGUUAGUAAAUUGUUUCGGUACCAGGUUCCUCUGUCUCUAACUAGUGAGACAAUGUUGCUUUGAGGUUGAUUAGGAGGAAGAAACAUACAUAUAUCUCAUUCAGAGCAUAGCGGGACUCGAGGUUGUGAAGCACUCCUGGUUCAUGGAGGUAAGCUAACUUGGUCAUAUCAUCCACCCCAGCUGGAGGAGCCUCUGUGUCUUUGGGGUAUAUGCUCGACAGACUAGCCACAUCCUGUGCAUAGGAUCAACAACAAUAGUUGUCUUUGAUUAGUGUUGAAUUACUGUAAGGUGGAGCAAACUAUCACAUUUUGGUAUCAGAAUUUGUACACAUCAAGCAGAUAUGAAAUGCAGAAUAUGAUGCUAUUUGUAUCUGAA